rnacentral:rRNA from 1 species
GACGAACGCUGGCGGCGUGCUUAACACAUGCAAGUCGAAAGAAGUGGCGAACGGGUGAGUAAUACGUGGGUAACCAGCCAUCCUUUUGGGGCGAAGCCGUGGAAACGGGGUCUAAUACCAAACAAAGGGGGAGGGGCUCCGGGCCUAUCAGCUUGUUGGUGGGGUGAUGGCCUACCAAGGCGGUGACGGGUAGUCGGCCUGGGAGGGUGACCGGCCACAUUGGGACUGAGAUACGGCCCAGACGCCUACGGGAGGCAGCAGUGGGGGAUGUUGCACAGUGGGCCGAAGCCUGAUGCAGCGACGCCGCGUGGGGGAUGAAUGCUUUCGGGUUGUAAACCUCUUUCGCUAUCGCACGGGUAGGUGGAGAAGAAGCGCCGGCUAACUACGUGCCAGCAGCCGCGGUAAUUC